rnacentral:rRNA from 1 species
AGUGAACGCUGGCGGUAGGCCUAACACAUGCAAGUCGAACGGAAGCACAGUAAGAGCUUGCGCUUCCGGGUGGCCAGUGGCGGACGGGAGAGGAAUACAACGUACUCUACUUUUUCGUGGGGGUUAACGUAGGGAAACUUACGCCAAUACCGCAUACGACCUACGGGUGAAAGGAGGGGAUCUUCGGACCUUGCGCGAUUGAAUGAGCCGAUGUCGGUUUAGCUAGUUGGCGGGGUAAAGGCCCACCAAGUCGACGAUCCGUAGCUGGUCUGAGAGGAUGAUCAGCCACACUGGAACUGGGACACGGUCCAGAGUCCUACGGGAGGCAGCAGUGGGGAAUAUUGGACAAUGGGCGCAAGCAUUAUCCAGCCAUACCGAGUGUGAGAAGAAGGCGUUGGGGUUGUAAAGACCUUUUGUGGGGAAAGAAAAGCAGCAGGUUAAGACCCAGCUGUUCUGACGGUACCCAAUGAAUAAGCACCGGCUAACUUCGUG